rnacentral:lncRNA from 1 species
UGUCUCUGAUAACGCUCAAAUCAUCUACUUCUGCACUCUCCGAGCUCACAACUCGUGCAAAACGUUGACCUCCAAACUUUUCACCUGCAGUUGCAGACAGUUAUAAUCACACAUCAAGGACUAUAAACUUUGGAAGCUGCUUUUCCGACUUGUUUGCGAACUUCGCAUGAAUGGUGACCCUUUUCAUCUGUUUCUUAACUUCGUUAUCUGGAUGACAGCUGGCACUGCUUGAACUAACGGAAGCAGGCUCCGUGAAUGAAGUGGAACAACAAGGGUCCUUGUUUGCUGUUGGAAAAGAAGAUUACCAGCUGGAAAAGGCACUCGUGGGAAACGCCGCGAAACAAAUGGACGUUUUGCACAAUCGGGUAAAAAAGAUGGCGUGAAAUGCUCGCACGGAUGGCUUUUGGCAGACAGUUUAACGUAUCUUGAUGUUUUAACCCCUGGGUUUUGUAAUCCAGACAGAUGUGCGACAAUAUUUGAUCUUUUAUCUGCGGUGGAAGCUGAUUCCGUUUCGCAAAUUCUGAAGCGGCUGCGACUUUAUCUCUCUACACCACCAAAAACAUUGUUCGGAAUCCGGAACGAUAAAAAAACAGAAAGUUGUCAACAAGAUAACUUACAAAAUCUCUGGUAUUUCCUGUCCAAUGAACGACAAGAUUUGUCAUGUUCCCGAUAAGGUACGAUGUUAAUCCCAAGUUGAAUAGCAUAUAGCCGAUAUCGAACACCAUUUCUCUUGCAUUCUCAGCGUGAAAGUCUCCGUAACCAGUAGUUGUUAGAGUCACAAUCGACCAAUACAGUGAUGUUACGUAUCUAUUCCAGAUGCUUUCGGUUUUGAAAUUUGGAUAAACCGCACCUAUCCAAGUUUUACUUGGGUCGGGAUAUCUAUCUGCUAUCAAGUAGUUAAAGCAUCCGGCACAGUGUACCGCAAACAGAGUCACCUGAAUUUACAAACCGAGAGGAGGCUGAGAUAUCUAAACGGCACGGUUGAGCUCACGUCGAAUAUAAACCAUGUUGACAGAGCAUAGGAUUGCGGCUCUAGAUAUGCCACGAAGAAAGUAAGAACGAUGUCAAUGGCAAAGAAGCCAUUGACAAUGUUGUCAAAGAUUCUCAAGCCACCUUCUUUAUUAUCAAGAAACGCAAAGUCAAACGGCGAAAUCCAUGCUGAGUAAAUUACGAAAAUAACCAGAAACAUCUGCCAUGCCCUGUACAAAGAAAAAGAGUAUAAAGCCUAUAGAUACAAAAUUACUAAUUCGGUAAUACCCUUUGAAGUGAAUGAUAAGUAAGUCUCACCUAUAUUGUCUAUCAAAAGGGCUGAUUAUGUAUUUCCUCGGUGCAACCACACGGUUAGAAUUCGCUCCUAGAGACGGAAGUAGAUCAUUGGAGAAGAAACCACUGUGUGUAGCUUUUCCCACGUGACAGUCGUCGAUGCAUAAGCAUCUUAAGACGUUAUUGUUGGAAACCGACAUUCUGUAGGGUGGUGGCAAGGUGGUCAUGGUGUUGAACUAUCGAUGGGUGGUGAAAUGAUCACAAGAAUUUCAUGUUCGGUGGAGAAAGGAAGAAGAUGAGGGAGUCCAUAAUUGAAGUGGUGAACAUGAUGCAGUUGAGAAAAUGAAAAUGGUCCUAAGAUUGGUGAGUUGUGUGGGGGGGUAUAUAACUGGGGCGAGUUCAUGUCAAAUUCCAUAUAUAGACCAGACAAGAGGCUGUAAGAGUUUUGAGAAAAAAGGAUAUGGGCCAGUGGAAUCUGUCUUAACAAAGAUGCCUUCUCUAAUCUUUAACUCUAUACUUUUAGUCAAAUCCACAAUCCUCGAAUAUGCAUCCUUACACCCGCGUAUCAUCACUCGACGGACGACUCUUUUUACCGUAUUUUGUUUUUUGGUUGCAUGGUGUCAUGUCAUAUAUGAAUUUGAUGCGUUUUUCUAACACCAUUAUGUAUGUAUGCUUGUUUCAGAUGGCCCAAGAGACACAAACAAUGCCUUAAAACAUAGUUUUCUUUGUGUGGUGUAAGGUGGGUUAGAUUAGACUCCAUGCACAGGGGUUGGUGCUUUAGUGGCCCUUUUGUGAUGGUGCUCAAUUACCAUACAGUUGGGGAAUCCAACCACCGACUUGCACCUGGACAUGCACGUGCCUAGAUAUUCAAAAUCUUCUAUGUUAUUAUUAUUGAUUUUUUUUUUAUGAAGGGUGGUUAUAUGUCUUAUUUGCAAAACUUAUUUACUUGUGACAAAGUUAUGUGUAGAGAAAUAUGCUUUGUGUAAACGACAAAAGUUACUUUUGUUACUUAAAUGAAGAUUCGUGGGUCUUCUA